rnacentral:misc_RNA from 1 species
AUUUUUAUUUUUUAUUUUUAAUUAAUGUCUGUAGCUCCACAUGCUGCUGAAGUUCAGGUUUUCAUCAUGCCUCUUGUUUGUUUUCUUUUAGCCAAGCAAAGCCUAAUUUUUUGCCCUGAGAUUGUUGUAAACCAACAUUGAAAAAUCUUUAUUCCUUGUAAGAACAGCAUAAUUAAUUUUAGUGUAAUUCAAACCAAUUUUUAAGCGGAUAUGGUGUGUUUCAUCAGUGUGAAUAUUUGCAGCAACAAUUAAUUCCGUCCAAGAAACACAUCAUUCUCAAGCAUUCCAUAAACCAGCAAACAGAUAAAUCUCUGUUUUUGUUAUUGGGACUCGAUAGCAUACCAAACCACAAUCAUUCUUUCAAUGAUGGUAACAGAAGAUAUUAGUGCAAGCAUGGUGGCAGAAACUAUAAAUACGCUGGUCCUAAUAAGAGAAUGA